rnacentral:misc_RNA from 1 species
GAUGAAGAACGUAGUGAAAUGCGAUACGUAAUGUGAAUUGCAGAAUUCAGUGAAUCAUCGAGUCUUUGAACGCACAUUGCGCCCCCUGGUAUUCCGGGGGGCAUGCCUGUCCGAGCGUCAUUGCUGCCCUCAAGCACGGCUUGUGUGAUGGGCCUCCGUCCUCCUCCCGGGGGACGGGCCCGAAAGGCAGCGGCGGCACCGCGUCCGGUCCUCGAGCGUAUGGGGCUUCGUCACCCGCUCUUGUAGGCCCGGCCGGCGCUUGCCGACACAUCAAUCUUUUUUCCAGGUUGACCUCGGAUCAGGUAGGGAUACCCGCUGAACUUAAGCAUAUCAAUAAGCGGAGGA